UGUGUUUAUCAUUUCUCAUUUUGUUCUUUGUUUUGUCGGGUUUGCAGACAAGAUCCUAACAUCUCGCCAGCAGCGCUGCCUACUACCUUCAACGCCAGCCUCCAUCUCCACUUUCCACCAUCACCAAACCCUCCCUUCAAACCAAUCCCUACGGUAGCCCAGCCGCCACUACCCACUGCUCAGCACCCACACACAAACCACCGUCGCCAACCAGCAGCAGACCCGAACAAUUGCAUCGCCAUUUUCGUCCAAACCCCCAUCACCACAGCCCCCAUCACCGAUCGUAAUCAUCACGCCGGCAAGAAAACCACAGCCCCCAUCGCCAUACUCCAAACCUCCACGCUACUCACAUCGACUGCCCUCUCUCUCGCCAAGCAAUCACAACGAGUCGUCCAUCUCAUCACCAAACCACCACACACCACUACACAGCAAACACCCACAGCACCCCAAACUCACCAAAUCAGUCACCGAAAACAACACCACCUCCAACAACCAAAGACAGCAGCGGUAGUCACGAAAGAGGGAAAGACAGCAGAACCAAAAGGCCCUGAUCUCCCUCGUCAGUUGUUGGUGGAUAACGCCACUAUCACGGACAGGUAGAAUAGAACCACCAGUCAUCAGCUUGUGGCUUCACGUGCCCCAGCUUCUGCACGCUUCAACGCUGUCCCAGUAGCUUCCUGAAGAAAUGGAGGUGAUGAACAAAAUACUCUCCAGGAGCGAUGUAAGCAAUAAACGAAUGGAAUUUCCGGCUAGGAGUCUCUCGGCCUUCCCCAUGCCAGAUGGUCAGAACUCGGUCCAAUUUGUGGCAUUUGACAUGAACGAACAGCAAUGGAGAUUUGAGGUCUCCAUCCGCAAUGAAGGUAGGUAUCGGAAACCUUGGCUACAGGGCGAAUGGCAUGGCUAUGUUCCUCAGAAAGGGCUUAGGAAAGGAGAUAAGGUUAUCUUUACUAUGCAUGAGGAAGCGAAUGGCGAAAGAAUUUAUCGUAUCAGAGCUGAAAGAAAACAUUUCGGUUUCUGGUAUUCAAUUGAUGAUCAGCAGUAAUAGCUCUCCAUAAAUCGAAGCAUGAGACUGGGCUCAUGUUAAGUGUGACAGGCAAGGAGAAACUAUCAUUUGGAGGUGUCCGCAGUUCACUCUGGUUGUGUAAUGAGUUAAGUCAAAAUACAAUAUGUAUCUGUCUUGAAGAAGGUAAGUCCUAGCUAGUCGUAAGAACUAUUGUCCCUAUGAAUUUGUUGCCUGCAGUCUGCCUUGGUAUUCUGUCCUUGUUGUAUUUUAUUUUAUUGUAUUGUAUUAUGCUUAGAUAGGUGCUAUGAGCUUUGUGUC